UACGUAGGGUGCAAGCGUUAAUCGGAAUUACUGGGCGUAAAGCGUGCGCAGGCGGUUGUGCAAGACAGAUGUGAAAUCCCCGGGCUUAACCUGGGAAUUGCAUUUGUGACUGUACGGCUAGAGUGUGUCAGAGGGGGGUAGAAUUCCACGUGUAGCAGUGAAAUGCGUAGAGAUGUGGAGGAAUACCGAUGGCGAAGGCAGCUCCCUGGGAUAACACUGACGCUCAUGCACGAAAGCGUGGGGAGCAAACAGG
rnacentral:rRNA from 1 species